GGUUGGCUAGCUUGCAGAAACGGAGCAACACAACAUUCAAUGGCCACAAUAAAUGAUGAUAGGAUUGAAAAGAUCAGGGAUGAGAUAGAAGAAACAACCCUAGGCUUAGAGACAGGUGAUUUAAAGCUUAUAUAUGGAGCAUUGUUUGAAGUGAGGGCCAAGUGGCGGCCGAUAGGUCUGGAGCUGGGGUUGACUCCCGGUACACUCGAUGCAAUUGAACAGAUGAAAAUCAAUCCAUCUGAUCGAUUAGAGGCAGUCCUGCUCGAUUGGCUACGGGGGGCAACAGCAGCCACAUGGGAACAACUGAUUGAUGCUCUACGAUCAGUUCUAGUUGGUGCAAAUCAACUAGCAGAGAAGUUGGAGCUGGAACACAGUUUUCCAGAAACUGUCCCCAGUGAAAAGAGGAAAAGAAAGCACAGUGGUGAGGAUGACAAACAGCAACUGACAAGCGAUAUCAAAACCAUUGAGAGAAAGUAUAUUCGUCUGCAAACAGCAACGAGAGAAUCUCUAAAGAAGUGUAAUGUUGAAUUGAUGUCCCUGGUAGCCCUCCUCACAUCGUAUCGAACGUCCCGUGCUGUGAUUAAGAGUGAGAGUAAUAUGCUGCUACUUGACCAGCAGGAAAAUCUCAAAAGGGCUGAUAGUGUUGACGAAAUUUUUGUCAUUGUCUCUCCAUUUUGGUCAUUCCUUGAUUUUGAGAUUCUAGAAGACGUGAUUGAAUCUUAUGGAGCUGACAGCGAUCGACAUAAUUUAGCUACGUAUGUCACUGAGCUCAAAGAAUUUCUCAACACAUGGAAAGCAAAGCCUUGUAAGAUCAGCCGAUUGGAUGAUGGUAAAACUCGAAUGAAACUUUGCUUCAAGCUUGACACCGAUUCUCUUGCAAUUUAUCGUGACCUAAAGGCUGCUAUUGCUAGGAUAUUUGAAAUCCAAGUCUAUGCUUUACACUUGCAUUCAAUUGAGCCCGGUUGCAUUCAGCUUAUUUUCUUUUGUCUAGAGAUUGUACCUAUUAUGGCUCUCAGAAGUGAUCAAAUUGCACAACUAAGUCAAAUAAUUCCUUCUGUGCUAAAGGUGUCAUUAAUUCAUGGAUCAACAAGUGAAGUCCUCUUUGAGAGAGAGGAUAGAAGUCCAUCUCCUGCUCAUAGCAAGCCAGUACCACCACCUAAGAUCAGACAAGAGUAUACUGAAGAGAAAGGGGAAAAGACAAUCCAAGAAAGCCACGAAAAAAAGUGGUAUCAGCGAUUAUUUUCUUGGAGAACAUCACAAAGAGCAGGAGAAGAGGCUGAACCCAAGACUACACCAUCACCAGGGGAAACAGUUGAGCCCACAGUGACAAGAGUAACUAAGGAGAGUAGUGAGUCAUCUACACGGGGGAAAAGGUGGUACCAAAGAUUGUUUUCAAGGCAUUCAUCAAGGCAGGAACAGAUGAAUAUACCUGAAAUGGGAGAAGAGGAGGAUGAACAAUAUGAACAAUAUGAACAAUAUGAAAUUGAGGAGCAUCCUGAUUAUGAAUCACACCAUCCUGAUUAUGAAUCACCAGUACAGGUAAUACGAGGUCAUGGUUUUUAUUAUACGCACAGGAAUCUAAUGCUUGGCUUAAUUUGGAGGAAUCACUUUAUCAAAGAAAUGUUUCUUCAGCAAUGGUGCCUAGUACAUAUUUUGAGAGUUCGCCUUAUUGGAGUUCGCCUCAACGGAAUUCACCGACCUUUUCAUUUUCAUCAGAGCAAUCAAAUCCACCAAAUCCUGCUCAAGAUACAUGGUCAUCGCCUCAACUGAGUUCAUCGACCUUUUCUGUUUUACCACAGAGCAUUGGUAUCCCUGACGAUAUCGAGAUCUAUAGUGCAUUAACACAAAGAGACCAGCCCUGAUUGCAGUUUCUCACCAAAUAAUUGUUAAACUUUAAGAGUCAGUCUAAAACGUUAAUUGUGACCGGUUGGUUGUGUGUAUGUGUGUGUGUGUGUCUUCUUGAUACAUGUAGGUAUAGUGUAACUUAAACAUUUCGUGUCUUUUUGAAUGUUUAUUUUUCUGUUAUCUACAUGUCAGUAGUCCUUCAGCCUCACAUCUUGUAAAUCAAACCUAACGCAUUUUUAUCUAGAAAGCCCAUAAUGUACAUUUGUAGGUAGCUAGAUCUACAUGUAAUGUCUGUAUUGAUGAUUAUUUUUGUCAACUGAAA